GAUACUCAAGAUACCUUGCAAAUUCAGGCCUAGCUGUUGUUUUCUUUUUCCUACGAAGAGCCAAAAAGCUUAGAAGUGGGUGACUCUUCUUGUCACUAUUAUUAUUACCCUUCUUUGUGGGGUUUCUCUUUAGAUUGAUCUCCCCAUAGGUGGAACCAAGAGCCAUUUUUCUUGAAGAAUUGGAUCCCCAAGAAGGCAAACUUGUGCUCCUCUUGAACCCCUCAUGCAAAAGUGCAGUGGUGGCAGAUUCUUUACCUAAUCUUUCAUACCCUCUCCGAGUAGUCAUGGAUCUAAACAUAGUUGAACUUGAAUCUUGUUGUGAAAGACAAGAUUUUGAUUGAUGUACUCAGUACAGUGUAAGUAAAGAAGUGAGAGCAAAGGGGUUGGUGGGGAUUGUAGAUGAGAGCUAACUUGGAGUAGCACGCAUGGUGGAGAGCUUUAUAUAUGCAUCUUUGUUUAGGUCAAGUUUGGUUAGCUAGUAGUUUGGUCCUUCAUGCUUUUUUAUUCAAUAAUAUACUAUCAUGUUUUGAAUGGUUACUAUAUAGACGUGUGAUUUGAAAACUUUAGUUUUGCAACUUAUGUUGACUAUUUCUUUGGUCCCCACAAUUAUAAGAUUUUAUAUCCAAUUAUCAGAGGGCGAGCCCUGGUGCAGCGGUAAAAUUGUGCCUUUGUGACUUGUUGGUCAUGGAUUCGAAUUCGGAAACAGCCUCUUUGCAUAUAUUAGGGUAAGGUGAAGUUUUUUUUAUAUCCAAUUAUCAAUUGUUGUGAAGUAUAUAUCCACUUCCACGAAAGUACAUGAAAAUUAUAAAUCUACUCAUCAACUUAUAUGCAGGAUAUUUACUCCUCGAGGCUCGAGCAUUGCACGCGAAUUAGACAUGUGCCUAAAGUUGAGGACUUGUGAUCACAAGUUUCUUCACUACCACAAUCACAUUUUACAAUGUCACAAGAGGAGUGUGAGGGGUUGAUCCAACAAAAUGCUUGGGUGGCUACAUUGAUUGGUUCCACCAAGAAUCCCAAUUUAGCUCCCUACUCGUCAAAAGCAGAGUAUAGUUCGGGUGACUUUUCAUGCUUGUCAAAUGUAUUUUUCUAAUUAUGUAUUUAAUGAUAAUCGCAUUUGCAAGUCCUUAAUUAUGUCAAAUUCCUUUUGUAGGAAUGGUUUGAGAAGAUUUUCGAGGCUUGAUCUAAGGAUUAAUUGCAAACACUAUGUCAAACACUAAGUCCUUAAUUAUGUCAAAUUCCAUUUGCAAGUGGAUUGGAGCUUGAAACACUAUGUCAGACACAUUUAACAUCUAGUAGACUGACAUUGAGGCGAGUUUCACAUAUAACCAUUUUUAAUUUCCAUUAAUAUUUGAAUUAUUUGUAUUUGACUUAUAUAUUAUAUUACUAUGUCACUCUUAUUUUUAUUUGACUAAUUAAUUAUCUGAGUCUCUUAUUUUAUUUAUCAAGUUAUUUAACAAAAAAAUUAAUUGUAUAACAUUUAAAUUAACUAUACAAACUAACUUAAUUGCAUAUAAUUAGUUUUUGGAACUAUUUAUCCCAUUCUGAAAACUAAUUUUUGAAAUUUACUUAAAUGUUAAUUGUUCACCAUUAGAAAUUCACAUUUGGUCUAAGUCAUCUGAACUCACUCAUGACUUUAGUUCGGUUCUCAAUUCAUCCUAUUGAAAAGUGAUAUAUAUAUUCCUCUAUAAAUUCUCGUUGAGAUUGAUGGUCUUUCAUGACCUUGAAAGGGGGACAAACAUUCCCCUCCUAUAAACUUUUUUACACACAAAAAAAAUGGUAUUUGUUUCAAAACCUAAAUUUGGAAAUGUAAUUAAUCUUAUAACAUCCAAAAAUAUUAAAAUAUUAUAAAACUAAAUUGUGAAAAUUAAUGACUCAUUUUGAGUGAUUGUGAGUUUUGACCUUUUUAUUUCAAAUGCAAUUUUCUAAACAAAGCAUGUUUAGUUAAAAUAAUUUUUAACUCAAUUUUAAAAUAAUUUUAAUUUCAUUUUUAAAACUAAGAAAAAAGUAUUUGUGAAUUAGGAUUUUAGUUUAAAAAAAAUACUUACUACAUUUGAUAAUGAUGCUUCCCAAUAUCAUCGUCACCAUGUGAUAAUAUAUGCAUCUUUGUUUAGGUCAAGUUUGGAUAGCUAGUAGUUUGGUCCUUCUUGUUUUUUUAUUCAAUAAUAUAAUAUACUAUCAUGUUUUGAAUGGUUACUAUAUACACGUGUGAUUUGAAAUUAAAGCUUCAAUUGUGCAACUUAUGUUGACUAUUUAUGUCGUCCCCACAAUUAGAAAAUUUAUAUUCAAUUAUCAAGUUGUGAAGUAUGUAUCCACUACUGCCUAUUACCACGAAAAGACAUAUAGAUUAAUUUAACUCCAUUCAUGAAAUUAUUGUGAUGGUAUACAUCUUAUAAAGUACUUCAGAGGAUAUAAUUGGUUCUUCAUUUUUAUUUGUUUUUUUUUAACAAGUAUGGCUAAAGCACAAAUAUUUGGUUCUUCGACAUGUACUGAAGUUUGUAUUAUAUUUUUUUCAGUUUGUAUUCUGUGUCGAGCAGGAUUUAAUGUUGAUUAUAAUAUUUAUUUCAUGUUAAUUUAAUUGAUAAUGUAUACAUGAUCUAAUAUAUUAUACAUUAUCUUCUGAUAUUUAAGUUAUAUUGGUGUGAAACAAGAUUGUCUUUAAUAAAACAUUUUUAUGGUAUCUUUCAUAAAAAUAUAAAAUUGAUUUAAUUCAUGAUAUUAUUAAGUAACUAAUUUAAAAUUAUAUUAUAAUAAAUAUAUUUCAUAAAAUACUUUUAAUAUGUUUAAAUUUAUUAUAUAUUGUAGUAAAAAUAAUUUAACAGUAAAUAGUGAUAAAAAAUUUCUUAUAUGCAGUUAUUAAAAAGAGUAAAAAUAUUUUUUUAAUAAAGUAUUAACUAAUUAAAUUUAAAUAAAUUUUUAGCAUAGAAAACUCAACCUCAUAAUAUGAAUAUUAUUCAAAAAGAUAUUAAUUUAUGAAAUUAUUUUAUAAAAUUUAUAAUUACAAUUAAUUUUAUAGGAUUUCAAAUUAAAAAUAAAAAUUGUUGAGUUUUUUUUAUAGGAAACCGCAUUAAAUAUUUGCAAAAAGAGUUUUCUCGCUCAUAAAAGUAUCAAGUAAAAUUGUCUCUCAUGAAUAAUACUUAUAAUCUUUACUCUCUGUUAUAAAAAAAUAAUUUAAUUUAUGACAUUGUUGAGUAAUUAAUUUGUAAUAAGAAUAUAUUUAAUAUAUUAAAAUUAUUAUAUAAAUAAUAAUUAGUAAAAUUUUUGUAUAUGAAAUUAUUAAACAUAAAGUUAAUUUUUUUCUAAUGAAUAUAUAACUAAUUAGAUUUAAAUUAUUUUUUAUUAUUAAAAUUUUAACCUCAUAAUAAGAAUAUUAUUCAACAAAAUAUUUAUUUGAGAAUUAUUUAAAAUUAUUUUAUACAAUUUAUAUGUAAAAAAUGAUUUUUUUAUAAGAUUUCAAAGUAAUAAUUAAAAUAUUAUUGAAUUUUUAGAAUGCAAUGGUUUUAAAUAAUCAAAGAAAGAAUUUUGUCGUCUAUAAUCUUUAACAAGAUUGUUUCCCAUAGAUGAUACUUGUAAUAAAAGAUAAAAAUUUCUCAUUUUUAAUGAUGUUAAGCAUGAUUGGCUAUUUUCCAGCAAAAAAAGAAAGCAUGAUUGUCUAUUGUGAAUAAUAUUUAUAGUCUCUACAUAAAAAUAGAACCAAUUUAAUUUAUGAUAGUAUUGAUAAAGAAUUUAAAAUUAUUUAUAAUAAAUAUUAAUCAACACAAUAUUUAUUUAUGAAAUAAUUUAAAUUUAUUUUAAUAAUCUUUACGUAAAAAUGUUUUUAUGAUUAUAUAUACUAAUAUAAAAUAUAGAAUAUAAUUUUUUAUAAUUAAAAUAGAUAAAACAGUAAUAAAACUUAAAUAAAAUAAUAUUUAUUAUAAAAAAACUAUUUGUAGGUAAAAAAAAAAUAAAAAGAAAAAAAGUGAGAAAGAAAAGAGAAAAGGAGUUCGACAAGAGUUGUGUUUUUUCAGAAAAUAGAAGACAUAAAAAUCCAAAAAAAGAAAAAUAAUUAAUGUGAGAUCUCCAAAACUUAUAAUAAUUAUAUAUAUUUUUUCUUUUUUUUUAUCUCUUUCUUAUUUGGUGUCAAUGGGUAUAUUGGGUUUCCAUGUAUAUAUUAUUAUUAUUUUAUAAGUUUGCGCGUCAUCAAAUUCCUUCAAAUUUAAAAAUAAAUUUGCCUCUAAACAAUUGAUCCAACUAAAAUAGGAUCUAAUGAAGCAGACAAGCAUAACAUAAUUGAAUCCAUCAAUUGCAAAAUAUCCUUUAUUCCUCAAAAUAGUUAAACACGCACAUUUCAAAUACAUGGAUUAUUUUAGUGUAUGCCAAUAUAAUCACUAGUUAUAAUCAGUUGUACCUUACGACAUCAGCUAUGUGUUGUAAUUUGCCCAAAAUAUUUAUGAAUUUUGAUUUAUCCAAAAUAGAAUAAAAAGAAGCUGUUAUUAAAAACAAAAUCAUAAUGAACUACCAAUUCAGUGGGGAAAAAAAAGUCUGUUUAUUAACUUCUUUAAUUAUAUUACUAAAACCUAUCGAAAAAGGGCAGAUGAACUUUUGAUGUUUGCAAAUUAUUCAAAUGAAUGAUUAAUUAAUAGCAAAAGUAACCAUACUCUACAUCUUGUCAAAGUAAUUGGACAUAAUUAAGAAUCAAAUAGUAGUAGUACUAUAUAAACUCUUAACGUAUUAAUAUGCCAACAAAUUAAUUUUGCAUUCAAACCCGAAGCAAACUUGCUAUGAUCAUUUGUAAUACAUCACAGGUUUAUUGGAAUUCAAAUCCCACAUGCCUCCUUCCUUGAGGUACUCAAGAUACCUUGCAAAUUCAGGCCUUGCUGUUGUUUUCUUUUUCCUACGAAGAGCCAAGAAGCUGAGAAGUGGGUGACUCUUCUUGUCACUAUUAUUACCCUUCUUUGUGGGGUUUCUCUUUAGAUUGAUUUCUCCAUAGGUGGAACCAAGAGCCAUUUUUCUUGAAGAAUUGGAUCCCCAAGAAGGCAAACUUGUGCUCCUCUUGAACCCCUCAUGCAAAAGUGCAGUGGUGGCAGAUUCUUUGCCUAAUCUUUCAUACCCUCUCCGAGUAGUCAUGGAUCUAAACAUGCUUGGAUCUUGUUGUGUGAAGGAAAAGAUUUUGAUUGAUGUAUGAUUCAGUGUGAUUAAAGAGGUGAGAGCAAAAGGGUUGUGGAGAUCGUAGAUGAGAUAACUUGGAGUAUAGCACAACAUAGUGUGGAGGGCUUUAUAUAAUUGCAUCUACGGGGUCAAGUUUGGUUGGCAAGUAUAGUUUGGUCCUUCAUGUGUUUUUUUAAUUAUUUAAUAAUGUAUCAUGUUUUGAAUGGCUACUUCACCCGUGUGAUUUGGAACCAUUCAGUUUUUGCAAAUUUUGUUGACUAUUUCUGUUCUGCCGUCCCCACAAUUAUAAAAUUUAUAUCCAAUUAUCAAUCAAGUUGUGAAGUACUAUAUUUCCACUUCCACGAAGGUGCAUAAAAAGUUCUCUCUCUUUCCGCUAAUAUUUGAAAAAGACAUUUUUUUUGUAUGCCAAUCUUGAUUUUCUUGGUCAAAUUGUCCCUCGGCCAUCACACCUAAUAGUAUAUCCACCUUUUAAAUUUGUAAUGCCCGCAAAAAAAAUUAUGCCUUUAAACAAUUUAAUAAUUGAUGAGUAGACAAUGUAAUUAGUUUGAAUGAGGCAAAUAGUACUAUAAAAAUGUUAAAUGAAUUGGUCUUACUUUCUAACCGCCACUUUGUGUAAAUUAAUCUAAACAACUAAUACUUGUUAAUGUAGAUUGUAUGAUUUCGUAAUUGUUUUUUGUUUUUGCCUAUAAAAUAUUUAUGAUGAACGUUUCAAGAUCGAAUCAGUCAAAAAUAAAUUUAUCCUUGUUAUGAGAUUACGGAAACGGUGGUCUCAUUUGAUGAGGCAAAGUGGCACAACUGCUCAACGAACAAGCAAUGCAUUUAACAAAAUUGAACCUUUUACAACUCCAGCUGCUGUUACACGUCCUGUGUCCAAAGCAGACUUUGUUUUGAACGAUGUUAAAAGCCUUUUUUAACUGAUGUUAAAGGUCUUUUUAAUAGUAGUGGAGCUUGUGUGCUACAGAAAUUAGACUAGUAUAUAUACUGAAAAUUAUUUUUUUUUUUUAUAAAAAAACUGAUUGUUUUCCAUUUCGUUUCCUAUUUUCUUCUCAUGAGUUAAACAAGUCUUCCCACCUCAGUUAAAAAUUAUUCUCCUCCCAUUGACUACGUACAAUUUCUCCUCUCCUAUCCCCUCUCAUUCUUUAAACAACACAGUGCACGACUUCAAUUCAUAUAUAUCCUAUACAAGAACAAGUCUUUCACCCUUUAACAUUUCUAUUAAAUUAUUUUCCAAAGAUGUUAUCAUGAGAAAUAAUCUCUCUCUUCAUCACUAUUUUUGGCCUAGAAUAUCAUAUAUAUAUAUAUAUAUGGUCUUAUUUUAAAAUUAAUUAAAAACUAUAUCUAUUUAAUAAAAAAUUCACUAUUUCAAAAAAAUUAAAAUAAAUUUUAAUUUUGAUGAUAAAUGCAUUUUAAAAUUACUACAUAUUAAUAUUACAUCAACCAUAAACAAUAUAAACAAUCAAAAUUAAUUAUUAUAUUGUAUUAUAAUUCAUAUAUUUCUAGGAUUUGUUUUUAAUUUAUACUUUUCAUAUAGGAAAAAUAGUUUUCAAAGUGAAAAAUAAAUGUUUGAUAAUGUUUUCCCUUACUUCAUAUUUAUUAUAUGAGUGAUAAACUAUGUAAGUGAAAUUACUCACGUCAUCAUUAUGAUUAUGUGCUAUAAAAUUAUAUCUUUAAUAAUUUUAUAUUUAAGUUAAUUAUUUUAUAUUUUUUUGUUUUUAUCUUAUUUAAAUAUUAAUAAAUAUGAAAUAUAUAGUUUAUAAAAAAAUAUUUGAUAAUUUAAUUUAAUAAGCUAUAAUAUUUAAUAUAUUUUAUUUUAUAAUGAUAAACUCAUGAAAAAAUUGAUAAUUAAUGUGCUUAGUUUAAAAAAAAUGCUCAUAAUACUUAAAAACUCUUUUCAGAAUGAAUUUUUGUAAUACAUUGUAAAUUAAUAACAUUUUUUAAAAAUAUUUUUAUGUAUUUAAAUUAUCUUAUAUUUAAAUAAACACGUGAGAUAAGAAGAAUAUAUGUGCAAUGCAAAGGUUUGAUAAAUUUUAAUUUGAAUAAUUAUAAAUUCAUAUAUUUUUUUAAUUUAUAUAUCUUGUAUAUGUAUUAUAUCAAUAUUGUUAUCUUGAGACACAACAAAUUAUGAUUGUUUUCAAUAGGCUUAAUAAGAUAAUAUAUGCUCAAUUAAAAAUAUAAUUAAUCUUUUGAUUCAAUUUUAAUGUAAUUUUAUUUAAUAUAAUACUAAACAUUUUAAAAACGUAAUAAUUUUAUUUAUUUAUAUUAUUUUAAAAAAUAUUAAAUAUAAAUAAUACUAAAUACUCACAAAAAAUUAUAAUUUAAUCAGAUGUGUAUCCCACUAGUAUAUUAUUAAAGUAUUAAAAUAAUUACUCAUCAAGGUCAAACCAAAGCUUACUGACCUGUUGUAGGGAAAUCAUAUCUUACUAGUUAUAACACGAAUCUAAAGAAUGAUCAAGGGUGAAAUCAUAUCUUACUAAACUUAGCUGAAAUCCAUAAGCAUUCCAUAGUGUUUUAUAUUCUUAAAAUAAAUUAUGAUCUAAGAUUUAUAACACGAAUUCCAAAAGUUUGUUGGCCAUAUAAAUGCAAGCCCCUAUAUGCUUUUGUUUGUAUGUAUUUACUUUUUAAUUUUUGCUAUAGGUAGGAUGAAUACUUACAUACAAAUAGUUAGGGAGGGAAUAAUAAUACUACAGAACGCGGAAAAUGAUAAAAAUAACGAGGUAUAAGCAGGAUCCCACAUUGCUAGGGAAGGGAGCUGCUCUCUUGCAAAGGGACAUGUUCAAAAACAGAACAGUGUGUGCUAUCGCUCUUCUGAGUUGAAUUUGUUCCAAGCUUCCUGGAUAUUGAAAAGGAGGCAAAGAAAGGAAAACAAAGAAAGACAAAAUGAGAGGUCGAUCAUAAUAAUCAAUUAAUAAAGUCCAAGGACUAAGAUGCUCCAUCGAACUUGGAUAGAUCAACUUGCCAAGUAAGAAACAAAGAACAGAAGAGUGAACAUUUAUUGACAUUCAAGCUUGGGGUAGGAAGUUUGGUAAAAGGUGCCAGAUACCAACCUCACCAAGCACAUGAGCAUUUAUCAGCAUGCUUGUGUAUUUGCAUACUUUCAUGUGCUAACGUGUAAGUGAUGUGCAUGUGACUUGAUAGAUUUUAGUUAUGCAACAUUAUUAUGGUUUGCUCUGACAAAUCCUCCUUUGCAGAUGGUUCAAAAUAAAUCAACUGAAAGAUGGCAUGCAUGACAUACCUUUAGGAGAUCAAAGACCUUCUCACAUAUGUAUUUGUUUUGAAUACUCGCUCCGCGUUGCUGUAACUUGUCAGGAUGGACACAAAGGGUGGCCUUCCUAUAAGCCUUCUUUACAGCAGCAGAAGUAAUGACGUCCGUGAGUGGGAUUGGCUGCCACCCACUAUCAGGCCCAAGAAUCUGACAAAAUGAAAAAAUUAGAUAAGGAACAGCAAAUAGAGUUUUGUUAUGAGGAUAAGCAUAUGUUCCUAAUAGGGGGAAAAAGGAUGAUAUAAGGAAGUUAAGCCACCAAUUUAGUCUCAUCUGUUUGAGACUUGUUUAGUGGACCUUCAAAUGUCACCCUUACAGUGUUGAGUAAAAAGAAAUUACAGCUAAGAGAAGAAAGGAGUGACAUGUGUUAUUUCAGAAUACAAAAACCUACAUAUUGCAAGGUUGAAAGUAAUGCACGCAGGUUUCCUUCUUUUCCACUUGACCACCUCCGGACUUCAGUAUCCAGAGUUUCUGCUAAUCUCUGCAAAGAGUAACAGACUGGAGUAAUCAACAAAAGUGGAAACAACAAUUCAGAAGCUAAAAAGAGCAACUGUUUGGAUAUAAGCUCACAUUUCUCUCAGCUUGCUCCUUCUGAGCUACAAGGUCACGCAUGUUCUUUUCUUCCAAAGCUUUUGCCUUACAUUCACACAAAACUCAUGGUCAAUCUCAUUUAUUUUAUAUGUACAAUUUAUGCAUGAUUAACAUAACAAGGUUGAAGAACUUACUGCACGCUCAGCUGUUCGGCGAUACCUCUCCAGUCUAGCUCUACACCUCUGAGCUGAUUCGCCUUCUCGUUCUGAUCUUUCAGAAAAAGAGGAAGCUACAGUAGAGGAUAAUGCCUGGUUAGGAUUAUAUCAAGUCGAAGCAGUAAAAUGUUGAUUGAAAUUUUAUAUUGAAGUACUGCAGGGGUUUCACACAUCACAUACCACCAUAAACUGAGGAAUAUGGAUAUCUGGAAUGAGUGAAGGAGGUAGAGUUCUGACAACGUGGAUCCAGCAUAUCCUGCCAUGCAAUUAUUAUAAAUUCAGUAGGCAAUUAUGCAAUUGAUCACUUGCAUAUUUAAGUGGAUCUGUGUAUACUUACUGAGGAUGAAGAGCCCUGUGUUCCACCAUUUCUGAAAGAAACACUAAAUUUGUCAGAGACAGAUCUCUCUAAUCGUUCUCUGGACUCGAAUGCAGCUCUAUCAACCUUUACUUUUUCCAUUGCACGCUCUCGAGCCUCAGCAGUUGCUCUUUCUACAGCAGUUCGCUCUGCUUUCAAUCUGGCUUCUGCAGCUGCCUUAUCAGCAUAUGUUUUGUCCCUGGCCUCAGCACAUGCCUUUUCAAGUCUUUCUCUGGCCUCAGCCAGUGCUCUUUGUCGAGCUUCUGCAGUUGCUCUCUCAAAUGCAGCCCUUUCUGCUCUCUCACGAGCAUCCGCAAAUGUUCUAUCACGAGCCUCCAAAGUUGCUUUAUCAACUGCUAUUCUAUCUUUUUCUCUUUCCCUUUCCCUCUCAGCCUCCAGCAUUGCUCUGUCAACAGCCAUUCUGUCUUUCUGUCUUUCCCUUUCUCUCUCCAUCUCCUCUUCUAUCUUUCUGAGACGGUCUUUUUCCAACUCUCUUUCUCUUCUUAUCCUCUCACCAUCUUUGUCAACUGAGGCAGAAGUUUCAUCAAGAAUUUUCUCUUUGCUUCUGGUGGAAUGUGAUACAUGAGACCUUUGAGAAGGUUUCUGGAUAUUUACCGGGUCUUGCACUGUAGCAGGUUCAGCAGCUAUUGUGUUCCUUCUGUAAUCGCCAUUUGUUACAAUUUUCCUCUCUCUACUUUGAGGAUCAAAUUCCAUUUGAGGGGCUGUCUUAGUUUUCUCAGUCCUUGUCAUUUCACAACUAAUACUAUGCUCAUCACCAUCAACAUUUGUUGCAGUGGAAGCCGCCUUUCCUGAAUGCUCUGCUUCUCCUUGGGACAUUUCUGAAGCUCCUUUUUUCCCUUUAUCCUUUAGAUUUUCCACACACACCUCUUCCAAUUUCUUUCCACCAACUAUGCAGUCACUUCCUGUCUUUUCAAUUUCCUGGUCAGAAAUAGGGUCUUGACAUACCUCUGGUUUUCGAAUAUUUUCUUCAUGAAUGGAGGAUGACUGAGCUGCCAGAAGAUUUUCAUCACUCUCUGUUUUCCAUGCCUCAUUGGUUUCUUUUGAAAAACUCAUGUUUAUCCCUUCUCCACCUUCCAUUUGUUCCAAAGGUUUGUCCAAUCCCUUAUCUUUUUCAUUCUUAUCAGCAUCUUUGAGCAUCCUCUCAGAUUGCUUGGAGUGACUAUCCUCAUGUGAUAUAGCCACAAUUACUUCCCUGUCAAAUGCUUGGUUUGAUGGGCUCUCUAUUUCUUUCUUCCUCUGAGCCUCAUUUCCACUAUACAUUUCUAGCUCUGGAGCUUGUUUCAGAACUUUCUGAACCCCUUUGCUAUCAAUCACAUCUUUUAGUCUAUUUCCUUUUCUAUACCCAUCAUAAUUCUCACCAAGUUUUUCUUUGCCUUGAUCUCUUUCAUAUGCCUCAUUUUCCCCCUGCUGGAAAGGCACUCUAGUUAUUUUCUCAUUCAUUUCCAGUUCAAAGUCUUGUUGAACUCCCUUUUCAUACUGUACCUGCUCAGGAGCAUGCUUUAAGCCUUCAUCAUUUUCUUCCAAUUUAAAAGAACCUUUAAGACUUUUCUCAAUUUCUUCAUUUUCACAUGUCUCUUUCAGUUCCUUCUUGUUCUGAAACUGUUUAUCUUGUUCAAGGAUGACUAUAUUUUCUCUUUUGCCAGUCAUAUUUUCCUCAGGACUAUCCAGAUUAAAGGUCUCAUUUGAUCUUUCAAAUUUUUCCAGCAUCACAGAACCUUUCACCCUUUGCUCAACCUCUGCAACUCCAAGAGCAAAAGCUUCUCUUUGAAUUUUUCCAUUUUCUUUCAUCUUAGACUGCUUGAGCUUUCUCAAACUCAGUUGUUGCUGUUCAUCCUCUUUGAGUUUUUUCUCAUUUUCAAUAUGUUUUGUGCUCUGCUGAACUUCAUUUAGCAGUUGUCUAUCAACCUUUUUUGGUUUCUCACCCUCCACUCGUUUAAGCUCCCUGCAUUGUGUCUCGGGCAUGUCUUUUAAGCUUCCUGAUUGGUCAACUUUAGGUACUUUCUUGUCAGUUUUUCCAUGCGAGCGAACAAUUCUUGCCUUCUCACUCAUUUCAAGCUCAAAGAUAUCCACCAUUUCCUCAUUCUUCACAUUUUCUCUCUGCCUGCAUUCCUCAUUAGAUGAUUUAGAUUUCUUAAUGAUUUUUCCCUGUUCAUAAGCCCCAUUUCCUGCUUUAGAUUUCUUCUUGCUUUCCUCAAUGUUAAAUGCUUCUCUUUCUUUCUUGCCAUGCUCAUGUAUUCUGGUAUCUUGUACCAAACUCUUUGUACUACUAUGAUUUAUGGGCUGAAUUAACUUUCCAGAUUCUUCUGUUCCCACCAAUUCAAAAAAUUCAGUUGCUUCUUUCCAUGUCCCAACUCCAGUACUUCUAUCUGAUUCUUGAGAUGACCUGGAUUCCUUGAUGUGCUUUUCCUCAAACAUUUGUAGAAGUCUUUCCUCUUCUAACGAUUCAAGAGUUUCUGGGGCAGCCUUCCUAGUUUUCUGCCUUUCAUCUGUGGCAGAAACUUUAUUUUUGCCAAUUCUCUGAUCACAAGUCGCCUGCAUUCCCUCGUCAUUCAAACUAUUAAAUCUAGUUAUAUUCACACUCACCUUUGCUUCAUUAUUUUUUACAUCAUAACUUGAAUGUACAUUGCUUUGGAAAACCCCUUUCUUCCUCUCCUUUAAUUCUUUGGCACUCCUAGGUUUUGCUUCCGGUCUGUGCAUGACUUCUUUGACAGCAGCAGCAGAUGAAUUCAUAUCAACCUCCACAUCAAGGAAGGGUGGCGAAGUGUCACCUAGAGUCUCUUCAGAAUCAACCCACUCAUUGUUUGAAUGAAAUCUACUAGUGAGCUCCUGUAUUGCAUCCAAUGCAGGUGGUGGCCGAGAAGGGGGUGGCACUUGAGAGGCUAGAGUUCUGAGGCUGAUGUCAGACACAGUUACGAAUGUCUCACUGGAAUGAGAACCAUUUCUGUUGCAUCCGUCAUGCCAAUCAAGAUCACCACCAAGAACCAGUUCACCAGAAUUAAAACUACCCGGUUGGGAAUCCAUUUUUCUCAGAUGGUUUCUCUUUGUCUGCCUUGCAUUAUAUUCCAUGUCAAGGUCAACAUCAUCAACGACCUGUAAGGAAGGAUCAGUCCUAUGAAAGUGUGUGGUUUCAUCAAAUACAUGAGUGAAUUCAAGAUCAGCACGCAGCUGACUUAUAUGACUUUUCCCCUUCGAUAUAUCUUCAUUGCUUGUACCAUCAACCUUAUGAUACGAAAUGUUGAACUCCGUACUUCCAUCAAAAGGCCGCAAAUGAUCUCCAUUUGACAUACCUUGAUUAUUUCCAAAAAGCUCCAAGUCUCCAGAAAAUGAGUGAGUUUCCACCGGUGACCUACAGAUUAUGAAAGAACACAAUUACAUCAUUGCAAUAAUCGAAUUCCAAUCUCAGUAAAUUUAAAUAUAUAUAGAAACCAAAGAUCAAAUAAUAGGUAUAAAGAAAACAAAAUCACGCAACGAAGAACUUCUACAAGCACGCACAAAAAUAUUGAAAAGCAGACAAAAAGCAUUUGGCAUAUACAAAAAAAAGUCCAUAUACCAAAUAUAUCUGAAAAUCCAAAGAAUUCACCGUUUAAUCGACGAAACCAUAAUUACCAUUUACCAUCCCUGUUUUAGUCAGGGGAGGGGAGUAAGAUUAAAACUUAAAAAAAAAAGAAAAAACGCAGCAUCUUCAAAUUUUUCUGUAAAAAGAAAAAGGAAUUUUAUCAGAGAAAUAAACCAUCGAAUAUUUGAAUUGAACAAUAACUCUAGUUCUUAUGAAAUAACCAGAAGCAGAACCAUAGUUCCCGUUACUUCUAAGAAAAUCUUCGCUUCAACGGCGAAACUAAAAUCACACACUAACACUAAACUGCAAAAACUUAAAAAACUCAAAAAUAAAAACAAGUUCGAUACACUAACGGAUCAUGCAUUUAAUCAAACAUUCAGAACCAGACGGUAAAGUGUAAACAUUAAGAGCACGAUCGCAUUCAUUCAUACCAGUCUUCUUCUUCUUCAUCAUCAUCAUCAUCUUCUUCUUCGGAGACACCGUGGCGAAACAAGUCUUCAUAGGAGAGCCAAAAGUCGAGGCCGUCGAAGCCACGGAAGAUUUCGGAGUAGUCGCGCGCGGCGUUUCGGAAGUCGAAGAAGACCUCGCCGGCGGCGUCGAGCGCCGGAAGAUCCAGCACCGGAAUGGCGGAGGCGCGCGGCUCGUGGAAGCUGGCGAAAAUCUCGCCGUAGUCCUCGAAGCACGGCGAGAGGGAGUGGUGGUGGCCGCCGGCGGUGAACUUCGCCGCUCCGCCGUAGACGUGGUCGUAUAGAGUUUCGGCUGGGAAACCGCCGGUGCCGGCGGUGAUUUUCUUGUCUGGAGGUUGCCGAGAAUGCGCCACGCUUUCCAUGAGAAGUAACGUUAGGGUUGUUGUGUUGUUGUUCUUACGCUUUGUCUCUAUUCGCUCGCUUCUUUUUUUUUGCUUCGUUUGUUUUUUUGGUUUCUCUCUCUUGCGCGUUCUGGCUCUGUGUGAGUGCAGACUCUGUUCGGCGUCAGAGGAGGAGGACGACGAAACGAGAAAAAAUGAGUGAUGAAAUUGAAAACGAAUGGGAAAAGGUAAUGACGCGAAAUGACCAAACCAGCCUUUCUUUUUUUGGUAAUAAAUUUGGUCUCCAUUAUUUCAACCAGCAUAAUCGAACUUAGAAAUGAUAACACUCCACUUUUUUUAGCCAUAUUUCUUUUUUCUGUAUAGCACAUGUAUAUUCAAGGACUCCAAUCCCAAAAUAUCUCUUAAGUUAAAAUAAUCUUAUAUUAGUUAAUUUAUGCAUUUGAUGGUUUUUAACCAUAUUAUUAGUUAUUAAUAUGAAUUAUUUAUUGCAUUUUCAAUAAAUAAUCUCAACUAAUAAGUUAGAUAUAUUUUUCCUUCACUCACUUUUUUUAGUUACAAGAUUCAAAUUUAAUAUUUUGUUUCAGUUUUAGCUAAACCAUUAACUUGUUAAAAAUAUAGUAUUCUCUUUAACACACUUUAUUAAGAAUUGAAAUUUAAUAAAAAAAUACAAAAAAUUAUAAAUUUUACUUUUUAUUUAAUAAAUUCACUCAAUUUUAUAAUUUAUAAUAGUAGUAAAUUUUAAUCAACAAUAAAACGUGUGUUACACAGUAUAUUGUCAAUACUUUUCUAAGACUAAAAUAAUGCAUGUACUUUAUAGUUUAUAACUUUAUAUUAUUAGUAUAUGUUAUUUAAUCACAAAUGAUUAAUGAUGAAUUUUUUUUGUAUAAUGACUAUAAAUAAAAGUUAAUUAUUUUUUUCCAAUCCACUAGUCAUCAGAGAAUUAAACUUUAUUUUGAUUGUUCAUUAGCUUUACCUCUAAUAUUAGAUUAGAUAUGCUGAUAUGGCAGCAAAAUAUUUAGGUAGACACAAUAGUGUCGUAUUAGUAGUUUUAUUAAAUAUUGGACCACAAUGUUAUAAUUAAAAUAGUAAGAGACUUAAUUAUAAAAAAAUAGUAAGAGACUUUCUAAAAAGAAAAUAAUAUAAAUAAAAAGGAGUUAAUUUGAGGGGGAAAAUGUGCGAAAUCAAAUGAAAAAAAAAAAAGAUAGAGGACCGAGACUAAAAUUACAAUUACAGCAUUAAAAAAAUUACAGUUAUUAAUUAAUUUUAAACAAAAAAAAAAAGUUAUGCGAUGGUGCAUCCGCAGGGAUAUUUUUUCGUUUUCUUUGGUCCCAAAAUUAAAAUAAAGUAACUGAUUGGAAUAAUUAAAAUACGGAAAUGUAAGUGGUUUGCGUUAACAACGCGGGAAAGAUGAAGAGUUGUUAAGGUUAACGUUAGUAAGAUGGAGACAUGCUUCGCUACUUUAACGCAUAAAAGAUCUUCUAACAUCGCAGAUAAAUAUAUAUUAAUUUAAAAGAAGAAUACAGUGAUUUUUUUUAAUUUUUUGUUUUUGGUUUACUUUAGACCUUAUUUCAGUCACUUUUGUUUAAAACGAUGUAUAAUCAGUAUAUAAUAAAAAUGAUUUUAAUAAAACUCUUUGCACACCUGGAUAUCGACUAUUUAAGAAAGUGUUUUGAUUGAAGUUUGAAUACAAUAUUUUCAUCGUAUGUUAAAAAAAUUGGAAAAGGUUUAUGUUAAUUAUGUUAUCACCAUGAAAUCCUUCGGCAUAUUUUUAACCAGUAAGUAUUUCAAGCAACGCAUGGAUAUGAUUAUAAAAAUCUAAAAAAAUAAAUUAAGAAUAUUAAAUAAAAUUAAUUUUAUUGAUCAAUAAUUAUUUUAACGAUGAUAGAUAUAAAUAUAUAUAUAUAUAUAUAUAUAUAUAUAUAUAGAGAGAGAGAGAGAGAGAGAGAGAGAUUUAGGUCAAAUAUAUAGAUAUUUAAAACUUUUAAAUUUUUAAAUUCUCAAGUUUUUCUAAUUAAUAAAAAUGUAUAUUUAGGAUUUACAAAUCACCAUUCUUUCAUAUUUAAUUUUGAUUAAAGAAAAUUAAAUAUUUAUUAAUGGAAUUACAUAAAGUUAAAAUCUCUAAGAAAGAAACCAAUGCUAUUAAUUUGAUUUGAUUUAGUGUAAAAAUUUAUGACACGUAUCAAAACAUAAGAAGACACUUGACUUUAGGAGAAGAGUAUGAUAAAGUUUUAUUAUGAAGAUGAAGAAUGAGCUCUUAAAUUUAAUGUAUAAAUAAAUAUAAAUUUCAUAACAAAAACUCAAACAAACAACCCUAAAAUCCUUGGCAGAAUAAAUUUUUGAUCAGAUUUUACACGUUGAAUUUUGUAUAGUUCAUAAAAUCGAAUAAAUGAAUAUUAGUACCAGAUUAUUUCAAUUUUCUACAGACAAGUGCUGUGGUGUUUGUUGUAUUAUUUUGGUGGGAAUCUAGGGGACCUUUUGUUUUUGCUACAAAACAAAACCGAGAGACCUUUGAAGCAUAGAGACAAAGGUGACGCACUGAUCCAACGUAGGACUGUAGGAGUCAGAUUUCUUGUGUCUAAUCUAAACUAUACUCAGUUGAAAGAUCCUCAGUACAAUGCUACUCGUCUUUAAUAUAUUUUUUUAAUUGCUACGAACUGAAUUUCCUAAAAUUUUGGGAAUGGAUAAUACGAUUAUUAUUUGAAUUUUAAAUUAAAAAAUCAUAUAUUUUGAAAAUAAACACAUUCAGGACUAACUUUUCUGACACACUUUAGUUAUCUUUAAUAUUUUUCACAAUAAAGUAAAAAAAAAGUUUUAUAGAUAAACAAUAUAAAAUAAUUUUAUAUUAUCAUAUAGUAUAAUAAAUUUAUUAAUUUUUAUAAUAAUCAUUUUAAAAAUCAUAAUAAUAGUUAUUUAUUAUUGAUUGAUGGCUAUCAAAAAUUUUACAUCAACCAUAUAUAAGUAUAAAACAAUAAUUUAUAUCCCAUGUUCCUGGUAAAUUGUCGUGAGAGUUGUUUGAGGUUGCUAUAUCGCUGUGUUCUAUGCACCAUGGGGUUUAUUUUAUUUAUCUACUACGCACUAUGGCAAUACAUGGUUCAAAAUUCAAAUGUUGACUCAGAGAUCAUUGUCCAUUGGAGUUGUAUACGAAAUAAUUUAUACAUCAGUGAGCUUUUAGGUGUAUUGUAAGUUUAAUUUCAUUUGAUUUAGAUACCCUCAAAGUAAAGCGAAGGUUAACACAUUAGGUAUAUGAUGUUUACAGCCUUAAAAAAUGAAUUGAGAUUCCAGUUUGCUUUCUUUGUGAGAUAUACAUUCCAAAAAAAAUCACUCCUUCAAAGAACUUUCAUUAAUACGAAACUCUUGACGUUUGGUUAAUGUUAGAAAAAUCAACUUUUCCGGAGUCUUAUGUUUUACAUGUGCAACACCAAAUUAAUUAAUUCCCAAAAUGUGAUCCACACAUAUGUUGGCACAAAUAAUAUGCACAAAAGUUUAAUCCAGAAAUGCACCCAAAUGCAUCACAUAGUAGUAAAAAAAAUGCUAUAUAGGCACACUAAUACGCAGUACAUAUGUAGGUUAGGACCAGCAAAUGGAGUCCCAAAUUGCACCCAAAUGUAAAACAACACCAAUGUGCACCAAAAUGUAACACUACUAUGUAGUAGUCCCAAAUGCAGAACAUGUGCAGCACCAAUAUACACUAAAUGCAAAUUAAUAUGCACCAAAAUGUUGUAUAUUUACAUUAAUAUACAGCACUAAUACACCAAAGUGCAGUCCCACGAUGAACCAAAACCAUAAAUUAGUCAUAUGCAAAAUUAUAAACUGGACCUAUGUCUUUCCACACACACAUGACACACCCCACCCCCAACCCCCAUUCUAGCGGUAUUACGCCUACAACUACCUCUAUGGUGAAGUUGAAAGUAUGUAAAUAUACACAUGUUCAUAAUAACUUUUUUUUUCUUCUAAGUAAGUAGAGUUUACUAGUGUUUUCUGGCUUGGUUUUGGCACCUCUUGUGCUCAAAAUGAGUGUUAUUAAUAAUAUUUUCAUCUUUUUCCUUUGAGAAAAAAAGUAGAGUUUACUAGAUAAAUUAUACAGAAUUAAUUUCUUUAAUAAAAGUUCACACAGUGAUAUACACAUUCCCGUAUAAAUACAUGUAGCACACCAAAAUGAAAAUUUAGUUUUCUACUCUACCUGUUUCGCUAUUACAGAUUCACAGUUGUAAUCCAUUCUGUUAUUGAGUAAUUAUUUUAUUGAAUUACUAUCACUUUCCACUAAAGAAUCACAGUCACAUCAGCAUACAACAAAAGAAUUACUAUCACUAUCCAAUAUUCGAUUCAUCUUGUUUUCAGCAGCUAUAGAAUGAAUGCUACGUCGGCAAAAGUAGUUGUUGAGAUGACACUAUGAUCAUAUAUAUGGAAUAAAGUUUUAAUUCAUAAUCUUAUUGAAACAGUUUUGAUCCAUAGAAUAGAGCCAGUACAUCAGAUAUCAUGAUAAACUCACAUUUUCUGCCAAUCAUUAUCCGAAAUGGCAUUUUUAAAAUAAAAUUUUAGAAAAGAAAAAAAUGUUUGGCCUUAAUAAUAUAUCUUCCCGAAGUCACGCCCAACCAAUAUAAAACAGGAAAAUAUGCCUGAGAAGAAGUAUCCUAAAAAGGCUAUAAAAGUAUAUUCAAUGAAAACUUGAGUAACAAGUUUAAAAAAUUAUAUAAAAUGAUCUAUGUACAUCUAAUACGCACACGCGCGCAUGCGCCAUGAUCGUAGAACAAAGAUUAUGUUUAUUACUUCAUAAAAAAAGAAAAUCAUUAUGAUUAUUCCCAUAAUACAUUAGAAUUCAACUACAUAAUUAGUGGUACAGAUAUAUUAUCUUGAAAAAAAUGACACACCACAAAUAUGUUUCGUAUACUCAAUUAAUCGCGUAAGCACAAAACAGGGAUACCACUCAGCAAAAAAAAACAAAAACAAAAUAAAACAGCUAGGGAUACAAAAAUGAAAACGACUUUUGAUUUUUGAAUAUUAUAAUCUUAUAUCUCGCCCUUUGGGUCAGUUUUUUUAAUUUUUUUUAGAUAAGUAUUAUUCACAGAAGAAAAUUCUCUUUAAGUUGAAUAAAAUUAUAAUAUAGGAUAAAAAAAUUUCUUCCAGUUAUUUAGUGCAAUUGCACAUCAAGAUUCAAACUCAAGAUCAUUUGUGAAGUAAAAAUAAUUUUACAUUCUUUAAUUCAUGUGUUUGAUAUAAUAACUUUGAUCACUUCUAACUCAGUUCCAAAAUUUGAUUCAUUAAUAAGGAUUAUUUUUUAUUUAUACAUUAUUUUGAACAUAUUAUUUUUUCUUGAUAUCUUGAGAGUGAAAUUUACAUAAAACAUAUACAUGUGAUUUAAUGAUGACAUGAUAAUAAAUAAUACAACGGAUAAACCUAACAAUACCUAUUAAGAUAGGUUUUUGAAACUAUCUUGUAAUUUGAGUAUUAGUCUAUCUCGAUUUUAAAAGCUAACACAUGAAUUAAGUGUUGUAGUUUUUAGAGACAUGAUUUACAUGCAUGUAUUGUUGGGGAAAAAAAUUAUUUAAAAUUAUUUUAAUAUGUGUGCUAUUUCAAUAAUAGAAUUUUUUUUUCUUUUUUGGGAAAUUGAUUGUAAAAAUAUAAAAAAAAACUUGAGUGUUUUCUUAUAAAGUAUUAUAUUCCUGUUUUAUACUAUUCGAUCAGCGUGAAAAUAAUUCUUCUUUUUUUAACAAAUAUUUUAUUUUUCUUUUUUAUUAUUUUAUUGUGAAGAUAAAUACAUUUUUUGGAUAAAAUAUUUAAAUAUAAUUUAUUUCUAUUUUUUAAUAAAGUUUCUUUGUAUAUAAUCCGUUAUUUCUGUUUUAAAUACUAUAAAUGGUUGCAUUUGCAAUCAAAUUACAUAAUUAACCUUUUCUUUAUAUUUUUUUACAAAUGAUUUCAAAAUUUAAAUUUAUUCAAUAAUCUUUGUCAAUACAAGACUCUGAUAGCUUAAACAUUCAGAUAUAGUAAUAAAUAUUCUCUUUUCUUAUUAUCAUUGUUUUUUGUAUCCUUGAGUGCAUGGGUUCAAAUAUGUCUUUGUGUAAAACUUGAAAAAGCAAACCAAAUAUCUGAAAAUAAACCUUGAUGAGAUGUGAGAUGAUAUUAGUAAUAUUAACCCUUUAAAAAAUGUUUAAUUUAUCUUUUAUAAAUAUAUUUUCUAUUAACAUGCUUUUGAAUCAUUUUAAAGAACACGCAAUUAUAAAUAUUUUAUAUAAAAUUAAUAUAUAUAUAUAUAUAUUGUUUGGAUGAAUUUUAAUUUUUUAAUUAUUUUUUCCUAUUAGGUAAGUCUACUUCUAUGCACGUUACCCUCUAAUUAUAUAUGUUAUUUUAAUCAUAUGAUUAGUCAAUCUCUAACAUAAAAAAAAGAUUCGUUAAUUUUAUCACUAAUUAAAAUUAAGAGCGAAGGACGAAAAUGAAAGCAAUUUUCUAAGGAACCUUUUAUUUUUCAGUUGGAUAUAUAAUUUAAGAUAAGACAAUGAACAUAUUAAAUGUGAGAAAUGAAAUGGUAGAGGGUGCACGCAGCUUGAGCUGGCAAUAUAUCGAUGGAAGCUGGUGGAUGGUGAGGUUUGGCAAUCUUUCUAACAAAAUACAUCGUAAAUAAUGGAAUUGACAUGCAUCAUAUCCAUAUUGGGGUAGGUAUAUCAAUAUCACCUUGAGAAGGUUCUGAUAGUGAUAGUGAUUUACAGCAUUAAAUUUGAAGGCUAACUGUCUCCAAUAGAUGUUAAAAGCUGUAGCCAUUGCUGAGUGGACGAGAAUUAGGGACCCCACUAGCUGAAUUAAUGGUUGCUUUCAGAUCAAUGUUGAUUUGAACUAGGGACUUGCAAUGAGUGAGGUAAAUACUAAAUAGCUAAUAGAGAUCAGAGAUAAUUUUACUUGCUAAAAGUAAAAUAUAAUCCAUGGCAUUAAUCAUUCUAGCUGUUCACACAUCUUUAUAUUGCCUAUCUGAAUUUUAUAUUUGGUAGUAUGCUUAUCCAAAUUUCAAAUUUGGUUACAAAACAUCCAUCAUGAUUUUAGUGCAUGAAUUCAAAAGGAAAAGAACGCGUUUCUUCGGUUGCAAUAUACUAAUAUUUAAUGAAAGAUUUCAGCAUGGCAUGUUUUCUUGCUCCGGGGAUUUUAAUAAUCUGAGAUGAAACAUCAUGCACUUUUUCCCUGCUGCCUAACACAUAUAUAUAGGCACAUUAUUUAUUUUUAUAUAUAUGUGGGUGCAUGUUUUUCAAUUAAUUAAAUUAUCAUGAAACAGUCAAACAUUGCCGGUUGCUGAAGAAUUCUUCAACAUAUAAGUAGGUAUAAUACCAUUACUUGUGUUAUACUAUAUAUGUUUCUUACCCUAUAUUAAUUAAUAGAUAUCUUUCCAAGAUAUGGCAAGCACUAAACGCAAUUAGUGGUUUUUGUCAUACAUGAAUCUUGAGUUUGAGAAUACAAUCAUAUGUUUAAACGUUAUGGAAUUAGGCUAACGAUCGAGAUUAUUAACAUUGUGUCUCUCAUUAUUAACUAAAGUUCAUAAAGUUCUUUAAUGUAAAAAAAAAGUUUAUAAAGCUUUAUCAUGUUUAAGUUUAAUAAUAUAAUUUUAAGGACUUUUGUAGUUUUUUAUGUGUCCUUAGAAAUUAUUUUACGUAAAUUAGGAAUGUCAUUGACUAAAAUUACUAAACUAUUUUAUAAAAUAAGAAAAUCGAAAAAAUAAUAAAAUAAUACUGAUACUCAUCAAUAUAAAAAUGCACACUACAAAAAAAAAUACUAUGCUUGGAGCUUGGAAGAGACAAUGAUGGAGCACAAGUACACUAAAAAGAAUGAACCUGGUCUUGGGAAUCUCAAAUUCUGAAUACAAUUUAAUAUUAAGUUUAUAGUAUGUAUAAUUUUUUUCGUGGAUUGAUCAGCCAAAUAACAUUGAGGUGUCUUCUUUAAAUCUUAUCGUCACUUUCGUGUUUGCCUCCCAAUAACCUGUCAAGGCACGAGGCAUCAACAAUCAACCACCAUAUAAUAAGCUACCCACUUCCACAAUUUCAUAUGCAAUAUUUUAUAUAAAUUAUUAUAUGCAAAAUUGUACAUGUUUUUGUUUUAUCAAAUUUAUUUGAGUUUUUAAAUAAAUAUAUAAUUUAAUAACCAUAAAAUACUUUUAUCUUCUUAAAUAUUAUAUAAGCAACUUUCUGCACUUAUUCUUAGUUCUGUGCUUUAAAAAUUAAAACGAAUUCUUUAAUAAUUUCAUGUUCCUAAGAUUCAAAGGGUUCUUCUUUCUAGUAACUAAAACAGAUUCAAAGAUGUUAAGCUUAUGUAAGAAAAGAAAAGAGAACUAAAGAAAAGUAAGAUUCAAAUCUAACCAAAACGGUUUCAAUGUUUUUUCACUGGUGACCAAUCACAUUCCAGUGAGCUUUCCGUCCUUGUGGUUGUUCCGACAUUUUGGAUGAACGAGAGUAUCUCUUAUUAUCUUCAGUCGAAAACUAAAACUUAAUCUUUCAAAAUAUUAAAAUUUAUUUGAGAGAUUAAUAUAUUUUAAUAUAUUUUUUCAUCAUAAUCAUAAAAAAUUAAACUUAUAAAUAAUUAUAUAUCUAAGAUAUAAAAUUAUUUAUCAAUUAUAUCAUAUGAAAUUAAUGAUUAUUCUGUCAUUUAAGUCAAAUGAUUUUUUUCACUGUUUGUUUAAGAAGAUUUGAAUUCAAGAAAUCAUAGAAGAUAAUAGGGUCCACUUGAUGGUUGAUACCAUAUAACCAAAAAUCCAAAGAAAAAGGAGGGGAUUAGUGGGUCCUUGUGUCCUCUACUUUAAUAUUGAGUCACGUAUACCAAAGCUCGUAUUCGCAGACUCAUCAUGCUGCCACUUACUACUACUCAAUUUCUUUGUUUCAUACUACUCAAUUUCUUUUUGUUUAAUAAUGUGAGUAUUAAUCAUACUACCACCACUCCUAUCCAUAUAAGAAAACGUUAUACGUACACAAAAAUCUUAGUCAUAAUCUUAUACAUAUAAAGAAAAUCUUCUAAUAAUCAAUUAUGUCGUUUGUUUUUAUAUUGCUGCCCAACUUAUACAAGUUAUUGAUCAAAUUAUGAGGACUUUCAGGCCUUCUUAACGUCAAUUACCUUACUAUGUAUAUUUAAAUUAACAAAAGGUUAAGUCUAGAGUGAAUUAUAAUUAAUUAUGAAAAUCGAUAUUUAUAAUAUUUGUAAAUUCUAGAUUAUUCUCUUUGGUUAAGCUGUUUUUCUAAAAAAAGAAUUGUCUAUAUAUAAGAUAUGACAUUAUUUUUAAAGAAAUUGUCUGUCAGAAAUGACAUAUAAAUAAUACAAGUUUGGCUGGUAACUUUAUUGCAGAUCCUGGACUCGGGUUGAUGCUUAUAAACUAUGUGAAGUUGUGAACUAUGACUACAAGUUCUGUUUUACACCUUUCAAAUAAUGUAAUACGUGCAAAACCUUUUUUUUCUUCUUCUUGUUUUAGGUAAAGCAUAAACAUCUAGAACACUGUUGGGGAGCACGAAAGAAAUUAUUAACGGAGACAUACGAUGAUGACUUGACUAGCUAGCUCCUUUGUUUUGCGCAACAUUAUAGCAUGAAGCAAAAAAAAAAAAAAAAAAAUGAUUGAAUAUUGGGUCCAUUUAAAAUUAAAUUAUAAAUGCUGUGAAUAAUGAAAUCCCUUGGUCAACCAUGGUGGUCCGAGAGUGGCAUAGCACUUUCUGAGUCUCCGAAUGAACAAACAACCCAGUUUUUAAGAAAGAAAAAAAGUGCCAAGUGCUCAUAAAGUUAAUUAAUAGGAAGAAUAAAAUUAUAUUUCCUUAAAUUUACAUCUAAUCCUUUGUCGUCCCAGGUUCGAUUCCCGGCAAUGGAACCUUUUACAGUUUUCUAUUUUGUUAUCAUUUUUUUUCACAAUUUUCUGUAACCAAAAGAAUCAGACGUAAGAAGGUAUCUCUUCUAAAAUAAAAUAAAAAUUGGACUAAUUGUGAGUUUUUAUUUUUUAAAUGUAAUUUUUAAAAUAAAAUGUGUUUGGAUUAGUCCUGAGUUUUUAGGUGCUUUGUUUUAUGGAUAGAUUUUUUAAUCUUGAGAAUAUAAAGGGAAAAAAUAAUCUUACUUUUAUUACGAAAUAAUAAAAUAAUUAAUUUUAGGUAUAUAUUUUGACAAAAAUUUCUAUUGAGUAAAAAAUUAAAAAUACACAUAUAUCUUAUUUAUAUUACUCUUCACUUAAUGAUUCAUUCAUUUAUAUUCUCUAAUUUUUGUCAUUCUCAAAAUUUGUAUUCAUGUGUCAAUUUAAAUUUUCAUAUAUAUUGGAAAGAAUCAUGAAAUAUAUAUAUAUAUAUAUAUAUAUAUAUAUAUAUAUAAAGUUAUAUAUUUAAUAUAAUAUAUUAUGAUUACAUUUAUUAAUAAUAAAUAUAAUGAAUGCAUACAUGAUCUUAGAAAAAUGUACAGGUAUGCAGAAGUAGAACAAUGAUCAUAAAGUAUUCUUGCCGUGAUUUCUCUCUAUCCCGAGUAUCCUUUACAGUUUACCCAAUUCUUUGUCCGCAACAUAUACCGAUAACUACUAUUAACUAUCUGAAACUCAAAACUUAAUCAAGAACUUGUCUUUGUCUGGCUUUACAAAAUCAUACGUCUUCAAACUGUUUGGAGAGUCACUUCAGAAGUGAGGGUGGUCAACCAAUCCAAUAAAGCCUUGUUCACAAGCUCUGGUGUCUCAUCAUGUGGACAAUGCCCAGCCUGCAAGUUCACAAGAGUUGUUUUUGGAUAGAACUCUUUGAUUCGAUUCGCUUUGGCUGGACUAACCCACGGAUCAAGGUCACCCCAGAGCAGCAACAACGGGAAGAGAGUUCACUUAAGACAGCAUCUAGAGUGUAUUUUCUCUGAUUCAUCAUGAAGCGUGUCAUUAACCUGUUGACAACAUUGGGUGAAGUAGUGAAAACAAAUAAACAGGAAUAAUUAGGAGAAGAAACUGAUGAUUAAAACACCACUCAGGCAACUAAAAUGGCUGAUUUGUUGGUUUAGAGCAUAAGCAUCCCCUCUGCUUAUGUACAUUGCUAAAGCCUGAGAAACCAAGUUUCUUUAACCAUAUCUAUCACGACGAAAGCCAAAAUAGAAUUUUAUAGCAUAUUAUUAAUAUUAAGAACUAAUGUUGAAGUAUGGGAUUCUGAUGUGGGAUUUAUAAGGUCUUGAGCUUUCUAACUACAAUGGUUAGUUUUUGUAGUACAAUUCUCCCAAGGUUCUUAUCAAUUAGUAAUAUAGCAUUUUAUUAUGUCUCUCAGCUUCAUGCGUGGGCGCAGGGGCUGUAGAGCAUGGGAUACAAUUGCAAGGAAUGUAGAGCAUGGUGGGAUUCUGGAAUCCAAUUGUAAGGAAUGAGACUUAAAAGCCAUUGGCUCAAAUGUGCAUUCACGUUGGGAAAACUGGUUUCCAAACACACACUCACAUUUUUGUGUUGUAAUUCUCCCAAUGUUCUUAACACACAUUAAGGCUGAUUAGAAUGGAUAUGAUCAUGUACCUGUAGUAAACUUCUCCGGCAUUUGGAUCUUGAGCUGGCCUUGUUAUAGAUUCCACGAGAUAGUCAUCCACAUUGGAAGAAUUUAUAUACACCUGUAUUGACAAAUUAAGCACUAAAACAUUAAUAUACAAUGCCACAAAAUUAAUAUGAAUGCGCUUGAUUGGCAAAUCAACAACUAGUAAGAAUAAGAAAACAAAAUAAAAAGCAGUCCCACCAAAGACAAAAGCCUCCAUGGAUAUGAUUCUUAUUCUUAAGAUUAAAAAUCCAGCCAUUUGGGUAAUACAAAUAUACUUUUAAUGAGAAGAUAGCAAGUAACAUACACUUUUUAGAACUGACAGAAUCCGAGCUGGUUGCUUUGCCUGCCAGAAUAAAAAUCCAAGAACCACACGCUGGAAAACUUCCUUCAAAGGUUUUAGGACAAACUUUUGUAGAGCUGUUUCUUCAGAAGUUUUAGUCUCCCUUUUCCCAUCACCAAAUUGCCCAGCAGAAUUUAGUAGAGCAACACCAUUGGCAAGAUCAGGCAACCCAGUUGCUGCAACCAAAGCCGUAAAUCCUCCAAGGCUGAAAAAUUAUCAUGAUUGAGGUAAACAUCAUAUUUUUUGUUUUUUAUUGCACAUAAUGGAAAAUUUUCAAUUUCAUAGAAAAACAAAUUUGCUAUUUACUACAAAUAAGAUGGUGGUCCUGCAGCUGUCGACUCAUCAAUUCAUUUGACAACUCAGAAGUAAGGAAAAGAUAAACAUUUCAACAACCAAAUUCAACAACAUAAUACUU
rnacentral:lncRNA from 1 species